GCCGGGCGCGGUGGCACGUGCCUGUAGUCCCAGCUACUUGGGAGGCUGAGAUGGGAGGAUUGCUUGAGCCCAGGAGUUCUGGGCUGUAGUGCGCUAUGCCAAUGGGUUGUUGGCUCUAAGUUCAGCAUCAAUAUGGUGACCUCCCGGGAGCGGGGGACCACCAGGUUGCCUAAGGAGGAGUGAACCGGCCCAGGUCAGAAACAGAGCAGGUCAAAACUCCCAUGCUGAUCAGUAGUGGGAUCACGCCUGUGAAUAGCCACUGCACUCCAGCCUGGGCAACAUAGCGAGACCCUGUCUCU
rnacentral:SRP_RNA from 1 species